AGCACUGAAUGUCCUAGGGGGUAUUGCACUUACCGAAGACUAUCAAACUCCGAAUACCGUAUACUUAUGCUUGGGAGUCAGACUAUGGGUGAUAAGAUUCAUAGUCAAAAGGGCAACAGCCCAGAUCGUCAGCUAAGGUCCCUAAAUGUACGUUAAGUGGUAAAGGAUGUGGGAUUGCACAGACAACCAGGAUGUUGGCUUAGAAGCAGCCACUCAUUUAAAGAGUGCGUAAUAGCUCACUGGUCGAGUGAUCCUGCGCCGAAAAUUUCCGGGGCUAAAACGUACUACCGAAGCUACGGCAUCAUUUAUGAUGGGUAGGAGAGCUUCCCAUACGGGUUGAAGCAUGACCGAAAGGACAUGUGGACUGUAUGGGAGUGAGAAUGUUGGCAUGAGUAGCGAGAUGUGGGUGAGAAUCCCACAGGCCGUAAACCCAAGGUUUCCAGGGGAAGGUUCGUCCGCCCUGGGUUAGUCAGGACCUAAGCCGAGGCCGAAAGGCGUAGGUGAUGGACAACAGGUUGAUAUUCCUGUACCACCAAUAACCGUUUGAGAAAUGGGAUGACACAGUAGGAUAAGCUAACCGCACUGUUGGUUAUGUGCGGGCAAGUAUUGAGGCAGUUCCGAUAGGCAAAUCCGUCGGAAUAAUGCUGGGGUACGAUGCGGAGCGAAAUUAAGUAGCGAAGUAGCUGAUUUCACACUGUCGAGAAAAGUCUCUAUCGAGGUUAAAGGUGCCUGUACCGCAAACCGACACAGGUGGGUGAGGAGAGUAUCCUAAGGCCAGCCAGAGAACUGUUGUUAAGGAACUCGGCAAAAUGACCCCGUAACUUAGGGAGAAGGGGUGCCUUCGAAAGAAGGCCGCAGAGAAUAGGCCCAAGCGACUGUUUACCAAAAACAUAGGUUUCUGCUAAGUCGCAAGACGAUGUAUAGGAGCUGACGCCUGCCCGGUGCUGGAAGGUUAAGGGGAUCUGUUAGAGCAAUCGAAGCAGUGAACUUAAGCCCCAGUAAACGGCGGCCGUAACUAUAACGGUCCUAAGGUAGCGAAAUUCCUUGUCGGGUAAGUUCCGACCCGCACGAAAGGCGUAACGAUUUGGGCACUGUCUCAACAACAGACUCGGUGAAAUUGUAAUACCGGUGAAGAUGCCGGUUACCUGCGACAGGACGGAAAGACCCCAUGGAGCUUUACUGUAGCUUGACAUUGAGUCUCGGUGCUACAUGUACAGGAUAGGUGGGAGACUAUGAAGCAUGGACGUCAGUCUGUGUGGAGUCAUCCUUGGGAUACCACCCUUGUAGUACUGGGAUUCUAACCAGAGGCCAUGAAUCUGGUCUUGGGACACUGUCAGGUGGACAGUUUGACUGGGGCGGUCGCCUCCCAAAAAGUAACGGAGGCGCUCAAAGGUUCUCUCAGUACGGUCGGAAAUCGUACGAAGAGUGUAAAGGCAAAAGAGAGCUUGAUUGCAAGACAUACAGGUCGAGCAAGGACGAAAGUCGGACUUAGUGAUCCGGUGGUUCCGCAUGGAAGGGCCAUCGCUCAACGGAUAAAAGCUACCCUGGGGAUAACAGGCUGAUCUCCCCCAA
rnacentral:rRNA from 1 species